AUACGUAGGGGGCUAGCGUUAUCCGGAAUUACUGGGCGUAAAGGGUGCGUAGGUGGUUUCUUAAGUCAGAAGUGAAAGGCUACGGCUCAACCGUAGUAAGCUUUUGAAACUAAGAGACUUGAGUGCAGGAGAGGAGAGUAGAAUUCCUAGUGUAGCGGUGAAAUGCGUAGAUAUUAGGAGGAAUACCAGUUGCGAAGGUGGCUCUCUGGACUGUAACUGACACUGAGGCACGAAAGCGUGGGGAGCAAACAGGAUUAGAUACCCUGGUAGUCCACGCCGUAAACGAUGAGUACUAGCUGUCGGGGGUUACCCCCCUCGGUGGCGCAGCUAACGCAUUAAGUACUCCGCCUGGGAAGUACGCUCGCAAGAGUGAAACUCAAAUGAAUUGACGGGG
rnacentral:rRNA from 1 species